rnacentral:ncRNA from 1 species
GAGAGCCGUAUACAUUGAGAGGUGUACGUACGGUUCGGAGGGGAGUUCUUGGAAACCUCCUGUAGAAAUACAGAAAGGCGCUGGGUGCUUACCCUAC